rnacentral:rRNA from 1 species
AGAAUCAACGCUGGCGGCGUGCCUAACACAUGCAAGUCGAACGAGAAAGUGGAGCAAUCCAUGAGUAAAGUGGCGCACGGGUGAGUAACACGUGACUAACCUACCCUUGAGUGGGGGAUAACUCAGGGAAACUUGAGCUAAUACCGGAUACGCCCUUACGGGGAAAGAUUUAUUGCCGAAGGAACGGCCCGCGUCCGAUUAGCUAGUUGGUGAGGUAAUGGCUCACCAAGGCGACGAUCGGUAGCUGGUCUGAGAGGAUGACCAGCAUCACUGGGACUGAGACACGGCCCAGACUCCUACGGGAGGCAGCAGUGGGGAAUAUUGGACAAUGGGCGCAAGCCUGAUCCAGCCAUGCCGCGUGGAUGAUGAAGGCCUUAGGGUUGUAAAGUCCUUUUAACGGGGAAGAUAAUGACGGUACCCGUAGAAUAAGCCCCGGCUAACUUCGCGCCAGCAGCCGC